CCUACGGGAGGCAGCAGUGGGGAAUCUUGCGCAAUGGGCGAAAGCCUGACGCAGCAACGCCGCGUGCGGGAAGAAGGUCUUAGGGUUGUAAACCGCUUUCAGCAGGGACGAAGGCGUCCGGGUUAAUAGCCCGUACGUUGACGGUACCUGCAGAAGAAGGUCCGGCUAGCUACGUGCCAGCAGCCGCGGUAAU
rnacentral:rRNA from 1 species